GGGAAUGUCUGUGUGAGUGUUCUAUAAUGUAGAUCCAAAAUGAGUGUAUUUUAAAUCGCAACGUCCAACUUUUCCUUCAGAUUCUGGCAGAGUUCCUUCGCUUGUCAAGCAAAAACCUGAAAAUAGAAUUCUUCAAAGAAAUUGACAAAUACACUCCUCGCUUCUUUGAGAUUUUCAAGUCCAAGGGGGGACAUGCCGGCCAGAAACUUCAGAAGUAUCUGCAACAAGUUGUACCAGGGAGUACAGAUGUUACUGCGAAGCGAACAGCAGUCCUCCAUGGUCUUCCUGUCAUCCUUGGAGAGGAGAGCACAGCCUUCUUCAAGACAUGCUUUGAUUGCGAUGACCCGGACCUGUUUGACACCUCCAUUGGGAUCCUGACGGUAAUUCCUGAUGGCACUCCAUCCUCUCCUGCCUCGCUGCACCCAGAGGAAGAGUGGUGCUGGAUGACCUUGAAAAUCUUCCCAAUGCCAUGUGCCUUCUCUUUGGGCUUAUUUAUGCCCUGAACUUGGAGUACCCUCAGCAACUGAAGAACACCUUUGACUUUAUUCAAAGAGUGCUUCUCUCAUUUGGACACAAAUCCCUAAAACCAAAACUACUAUCACUCAAAAAUCUUCUGUUGCAGUGAGUGAAUGUCCUCAUGAUGCAAAUGAGACGUGAUACCCUGUUAUCCAUUUCAUCACUUUUGCUGUUUGUUGUUGGUCCUUUUUUGUGGGAAGGAGCAUCAUUGUUCUUUGCUCUCAGACUGUUAAUUGUUAUGUUCAAAAGGAGAUAAACACAUGAACACACAAGGCUCUAUUUUCCUAAUGUUCCCCUUUAUGACUUUUUUCAUUAUGCCAAUGCAAAUAUGACAAAUAGAUGCAAAUUUGCACAUGUAUUAUACAGACUAAUGUUUCAAGAAUUUCUUGAUGACUUUUGGAGAAAAUUCUAGAAAAUGUUUCUAAAAGUGUAUAAUUUUAAGAAAAAAAUUACAAUAUUUAAUGAAAAAAGUCAUUUAAGAAGUUGUAACGUUUCAAGAUAAAGUUCAUUAUCUUAAUUUGUACUAGGGGUGGGCAA